rnacentral:rRNA from 1 species
UGGCAGUAGAGUUAGUCGAAUAAUGUGUGAAAGUACACGAGCGGCGGACGGCUGAGUAACGCGUAGGAACGUACCCCAAAGUGAGGGAUAAGCACCGGAAACGGUGUCUAAUACCGCAUGUAGUCUAAGGACUAAAGCCUUCGGGCGCUUUGGGAGCGGCCUGCGUAUGAUUAGUUUGUUGGUGAGGUAAUGGCUCACCAAGACUACGAUCAUUAGCUGGUCUGAGAGGAUGAUCAGCCAGACUGGGACUGAGACACGGCCCAGACUCC